rnacentral:rRNA from 1 species
AUUGAACGCUGGCGGCAUGCCUUACACAUGCAAGUCGAACGGCAGCACGGGUGCUUGCCCCUGGUGGCGAGUGGGGAACGGGUGAGUAAUACAUCGGAACAUCUCCUGUAGAGGGGGAUAGCCCGGCGAAAGACGGGUUAAUACCGCAUACGAUCUACGGAAGCAAGCGGGGGACCUUCGGACCUCGGGUUUUAGGGUUGGCCGAUGGCUGAUUAGCUAGUUGGUGGGGUAAAGGCCUACCAAGGCGACGAUCAGUAGCUGGUCUGAGAGGACGACCAGCCACACUGGGACUGAGACACGGCCCAGACUCCUACGGGAGGCAGCAGUGGGGAAUUUUGGACAAUGGGCGAAAGCCUGAUCCAGCAAUGCCGCGUGUGUGAAGAAGGCCUUCGGGUUGUAAAGCACUUUUGUCCGGGAAGAAAUCCUUGGCCCUAAUACGGUCGGGGGAUGACGGUACCGGAAGAAGAAGCACCGGCUAACUACGUG